GUGUCAGCCGCCGCGGUAAGACGAACCGUGCGAACGUUAUUCGGAAUCACUGGGCUUAAAGGGUGCGUAGGCGGGUUGCCAAGUCUGUGGUGAAAUCCUCCGGCUUAACCGGAGAACUGCCGUGGAUACUGGCGACCUCGAGGGGUGUAGGGGCUUGCGGAACUGUGCGUGGAGCGGUGAAAUGCGUUGAUAUGCACAGGAACUCCGGUGGCGAAAGCGGCGAGCUGGACACCUUCUGACGCUGAGGCACGAAAGCCAGGGGAGCGAACGGGAUUAGAAACCCCUGUAGUCC
rnacentral:rRNA from 1 species